CAAUGCCUCACCCUGCUUCGGCUCGCUCAUGGUGCACGCACCCACUGACCUGCGCCCACUGUCUGGCACUCCCUAGUGAGAUGAACCCGGUACCUCAGAUGGAAAUGCAGAAAUCACCUGUCUUCUGCGUCGCUCACGCUGGGAGCUGUAGACCGGAGCUGUUCCUAUUCGGCCAUCUUGGCUCCUCCCCCGGGACAAUUAUUUUCUAUGGAAAUAAAACUAAUUCUUGAGGCAGGAUCUCUCUAUGUUGCCAGAGCUAGCCUUGAACUCCUGGGCUCAAGCAAUCAUCCACCUCUUCCUCCCAAAGUUCUGAAAUUACAGGAUGAAGAACGAGGUCACAUCCUUUGCAGGAAUAUGGAUGGAGCUGGAGGCCAUUAUCCAUUGCAAACUAAUGCAGAAACAGAACACUUAAGACCGAAUGUCCUCACUUGUAAGUGGAAGCUAAAUGAGAACACAUGGAUGACAGAAUGGAACAACACACACUAGGGCCUGUCUGAGGGUGGAAGGUGGGAGGAGGAAAAGGAUUAGGAAAAAUAACUAAUGGGUACUAGGCUCAAUAACUGGGUGAUACAAUAAUCUGUACCACAAAUUUCCAUGAGACAAGUUUACCUAUGUAACAAACCUGCACAUACACCCUGGAACUUAAAGUUAAAAUAAUAAAAAUAGUUUAAAAUAUUGGAGAAAAAAAAGCAUGAAAACUUGUUCAUAAUGUUGUUAAGCUUC
rnacentral:lncRNA from 1 species